UACGUAGGGUGCAAGCGUUAUCCGGAAUUAUUGGGCGUAAAGAGCUUGUAGGCGGUUUGUCGCGUCUGCUGUGAAAACUGGGGGCUCAACCCCCAGCCUGCAGUGGGUACGGGCAGACUAGAGUGCGGUAGGGGAGAUUGGAAUUCCUGGUGUAGCGGUGGAAUGCGCAGAUAUCAGGAGGAACACCGAUGGCGAAGGCAGAUCUCUGGGCCGUAACUGACGCUGAGGAGCGAAAGCGUGGGGAGCAAACAGG
rnacentral:rRNA from 1 species